UGACACCAGAAGGAAAGGCCUUGGGAAUGGAAGAUGAGUUAGUCCUGAGUGCCGUUUAAAUCACGAAAUCGAGGAUGAAGGGGGUGCAGUGACCCGGUUCAAACCUUUUGCACUGUGGGUCCUCGGGCCUCACUGCUCACCGGCAUGGACCAUCAUCUGGGAAUGGGAUGCUAACUGGGGCCUCUCGGCAAUUUUGGUGACUCUUGCAAGGUCAUACCUGGGUGACGCAUCCAAACUGAGUUCCUCCAUCACAGAAGUUGCGGCGCCGCUUCGGGGACGUGUUCAGCCUGCAGCUGGCCUGGACGCCGGUGGUCGUGCUCAAUGGGCUGGCGGCCGUGCGCGAGGCGAUGGUGACCCGCGGCGAGGACACGGCCGACCGCCCGCCUGCGCCCAUCUACCAGGUCCUGGGCUUCGGGCCGCGUUCCCAAGGGGUGAUCCUGUCGCGCUAUGGGCCCGCGUGGCGCGAGCAGAGGCGCUUCUCCGUGUCCACCUUGCGCAACUUGGGCCUGGGCAAGAAGUCGCUGGAGCAGUGGGUGACCGAGGAGGCCGCCUGCCUUUGUGCCGCCUUCGCCG
rnacentral:lncRNA from 1 species